rnacentral:rRNA from 1 species
GAUGAACGCUGGCGGCGUGCCUAAUACAUGCAAGUCGAGCGAACGGACGAGAAGCUUGCUUCUCUGAUGUUAGCGGCGGACGGGUGAGUAACACGUGGAUAACCUACCUAUAAGACUGGGAUAACUUCGGGAAACCGGAGCUAAUACCGGAUAAUAUUUUGAACCGCAUGGUUCAAAAGUGAAAGACGGUCUUGCUGUCACUUAUAGAUGGACCCGCGCUGCAUUAGCUAGUUGGUAAGGUAACGGCUUACCAAGGCAACGAUGCAUAGCCGACCGGAGAGGGGGAUCGGCCACACUGAAACUGAGACACGGUCCAGCCUCCUACGGGAGGCAGCAGUAGGGAAUCUUCCGCAAUGGGCGAAAGCCUGGCGGAGCAACGCCGCGUGAGUGAUGAAGGUCUUCGGAUCGUAAAACUCUGUUAUUAGGGAAGAACAUAUGUGUAAGUAACUGUGCACAUCUUGACGGUACCUAAUCAGAAAGCCACGGCUAACUACGU